AUGUAUUUUAAUUUAAUGAUACUAUCCCAGUUCUGAGUCUUAUAAGACCUUAGAGCACUUGUUCUUAUUUCUUAGAAGUUUCCUGGUGCCAUGUGGAUAAGCAUGGCUGGAAGGGCCAAGUAUGAAGAAAGAGGCCCCAAGUCCUCCACAUAUUCCAACUGAGGCCUAACAGCCACCAGGCUGGCCAAACACCAGCUACCUGAAGAGUAAUGAGAGAACCAUGAUGCUCAUGUGCCAACGCUCCUGUGAUAGGUUUUCAUUAUGAAGUCGGAAGUAGUGUUCUCAUGAUCACUUCAAACAGACCUGGUUUUUCCACAAAUACGGAUGCCUAAAGCAUGUGUUUCAAAAUUCCUUCUUGUCCAAGUUUAACAUGACCUACUUUAUAAUAAAGCCAGAUCAAGGUUACCUCCUAGCAUCCUCGUGUCAUUAGAAAACAUGGUUUAUUUAUUUUUAUAUCAAUCCUGUAUUUCCAAAUUCCAGUAUUUUUGCCAGAGUACACUUAGUCCUGUGAAGUUAAAUUUCAUGCAUGUCAACGGUAUUUCCUCAACUGGGUAAAUAUUGAAAGGGCCGAUCCUACUUUUUGACAGAAAGUGCUAAAUGUGUUUGGUUGUCAGGUUUGACUGAAUAUUUCAAAGGGUGUCCAGAUGUUUCCAGCAGCGUCUUGAAGCCCCAAUGAGUCUCCAGCCAACUGUUGCUUUGACAAGCAGUCUCUUCUCCUGGUUGGACAUCAUGAGAAUUCUCUAAUUUUGCUCUGCAUUCCUCCUGACCCUGACAAAGCUGCAGCUCCUAACGGGGUCUCUUUCAUAAUCCAAUUUCUCUGAUUUUUCCAGAAUCAACAAGAAAGUGAUUCUUGUUACAGUUCUUCCUGAAUAGAGAGUCAAUGUACCAGGAGGUAUUAGAUAGCUUCCUCCCUAAACUUUCAAAGCUUGAUGUGAAUUCCUGCAAAGAUCACCCUGGAGUCCAGCUUCCCAAGACUUCCUCAGCCUUCUCUCUUUAAGAAACUAUCUUCCCACUCAACAGAAUUUUCUGCAGGACUGGAUGUAAUCUUUCCUUGGAAAUGAAUAAAAGAUGCAUCCAAUAAAAGCAGCAAGAAUUUGGAGGAAAAAAAGAAAGCCUGAUUUGGCAAUCACUGUGACUUCAGCAACCAGGACAUAGAACAUUAAUGCAAAUAAAUUACCUUGAGAGUUUUAAUAAUAAAUGUAACUUAUGUCAACUAAAGUAGUCAGUUAUUGAAAUGGUCAAAAUAAUAUUAAGAUAGGUUUAGCAUCAGCCUUUGAGCCAUCAAAUAACAUCUACAGCUACCUGUAUAGCAGAUCGCUAUGUACAUAUCACAAUCUAGUCCAAGUCCAUGGUUUUAAAGUUUGUUUGUUUGUUAAUGUGGCAUUUGAGGAAUUAGCUGGCUGGAAUGCAUCCCAAUAUAAACAAAAUGGAAGGAAA